UAGUCGUAACAAGGUAACCGUAGGGGAACCUGCGGUUGGAUCACCUCCUUACCUUAAAGAACCUGCCUUUGCAGUGCUCACACAGAUUGUCUGAUGAAUGAUGAACUUCUGAAUGUACUUUUGAGUGCAUUAAGAAGUUUUGCUCUUUAAAAAUCUGGAUCAAGCUGAAAAUUGAAACGACACACAUAUUAUGUGUGUUCGAGUCUCUCAAAUUUUCGCAAACCGAUGAUGAAUCGAAAGAAACAUCUUCGGGUUGUGAGGUUAAGCGACUAAGCGUACACGGUGGAUGCCCUGGCA
rnacentral:misc_RNA from 1 species